rnacentral:rRNA from 1 species
GUUGAACGCUGGCGGCAUGCCUUACACAUGCAAGUCGAACGGCAGCACGGGAGCAAUCCUGGUGGCGAGUGGCGAACGGGUGAGUAAAGUAUCGGAACGUGCCCAGUCGUGGGGGAUAACGUAGCGAAAGUUACGCUAAUACCGCAUACGAUCUAUGGAUGAAAGCGGGGGAUCGCAAGACCUCGCGCGAUUGGAGCGGCCGAUAUCAGAUUAGGUAGUUGGUGGGGUAAAGGCUGACCAAGCCGACGAGCUGUAGCUGGUCUGAGAGGACGACCAGCAACACUGGGACUGCGAGACGGCCCAGACUCCUACGGGAGGCAGCAGUGGGGAAUUUUGGACAAUGGGCGAAAGCCUGAUCCAGCCAUGCCGCGUGCAGGAUGAAGGCCUUCGGUGUGUAAACUGCUUUUGUACGGAACUAAAAGGUUUGGCCUAAUAAGCUGAGCUCAUGACGGUACCGUAAGAAUAAGCACCGGCUAACUACGUGCCAGCCGCCGCCGUAA